rnacentral:rRNA from 1 species
AAGCACUCCGCCUGGGGAGUACGACCGCAAGGUUGAAACUCAAAGGAAUUGACGGGGGCCCGCACAAGCGGUGGAGCAUGUGGUUUAAUUCGAAGCAACGCGAAGAACCUUACCAGGUCUUGACAUCCUUUGACCACUCUAGAGAUAGAGCUUUCCCUUCGGGGACAAAGUGACAGGUGGUGCAUGGUUGUCGUCAGCUCGUGUCGUGAGAUGUUGGGUUAAGUCCCGCAACGAGCGCAACCCUUAUUGUUAGUUGCCAUCAUUCAGUUGGGCACUCUAGCGAGACUGCCGGUGACAAACCGGAGGAAGGUGGGGAUGACGUCAAAUCAUCAUGCCCCUUAUGACCUGGGCUACACACGUGCUACAAUGGGAAGUACAACGAGUCGCUAGGCCGCGAGGUCAUGCAAAUCUCUUAAAGCUUCUCUCAGUUCGGAUUGUAGGCUGCAACUCGCCUACAUGAAGCCGGAAUCGCUAGUAAUCGCGGAUCAGCACGCCGCGGUGAAUACGUUCCCGGGCCUUGUACACACCGCCCGUCACACCACGAAAGUUUGUAACACCCGAAGUCGGUGAGGUAACCUUUUGGAGCCAGCCGCCUAAGGUGGGAUAGAUGAUUGGGGUGAAGUCGUAACAAGGUAGCCGUAUCGGAAGGUGCGGCUG